rnacentral:lncRNA from 1 species
ACUCAGACGAAAAGCGUGUGGUUUUUGCAAAAUGAAACAGCGACUGUUUCCAACCAUGCCUUUGAGCCGCCAAAAAAUGUGGAGUAUUCAUUAUCUGGCCCCCAGCCUGCCGAUUAGUGGGCAGCGUUCCUUGGAGGGCUGACCCGAGGGCUGCCCUGCCACGCACUGGGCAUCCGUCCCCAGAGUGCCCGUAGCUCCAGGUCUGUGCCCCUGCGGGGGUAGCGGAAGCAACCCUCUUGCCCCUUUGUGGCCCUGCCCAGAAAGCCCUUUAUUAUCCAGAAAGACACACAGACCCCUCCACUGCUGCCCAAGCAGUCCUGGACAGGGCAGGGAACCCAUCCUGUGCUGCAGCUUCAAGCUGGGGAGCACAGUGGUGACCCCCCUCAUCUUGCUGGAGGGACUCUGUGUCCUAAGGACCUUCCUGGGCAUCUGGGCUUCAGACCCUGGAGACAAACGUAGAGUGCACAGCUGGUGGGGCCAGGCUUGCCUUCCGGGGAGAGGUCUGCAUGCCUGUGGAGAGAACGCUGGGAAUGCUGUUCCAGCUUUUAUGAGUUUGAGAGGAGGACCAGCCCGUCUCACAGAUGCAAAGCCUGAGGUGCAAAGACGAGGAGCUUCUUGAUCAAGACCCCUCAUUGAGAUCCUCUGAUCCUGUCUGCUGCUAU